AAGUGUAGCACCAUCAGAAGAAAUGGAGGGACAUGAGAAUCUCUGUACAUCUUCAGAAGGGAUAAAGGAUAAAACCUGUAGUCUUCCAGUUCCUGGUGACAUAAAGUGUCAUCUGUUCAAAUGCACGCAAAGUCAUCUGCAUGCCCAGCGUAACCUUCAUCUGAAUGAACUUCUGUUACCUUUGGAUUAUUUUUAAUCAGGACACAGUAACAGAACUAGGACUUAGUUCAAUACCCAUUUCGUUUACAUGGCACGUAAAGCUUCAUUUAAAUUUGAAGGCAACCAUAAUUUUUCUGAAAUAUUCAAAACAGCUUUAAAUAGUCUUUGGGAAACUCCAGAAGUCCUCCAGUGCAAGGAUCAUCAGUUAAACAUAUACCCCAUUGGUUUUUAUGUAGUAAUAUCUGAUAUACUGCCAACCCAUUGGACAAACUGUGCAGAUGCUGUAUUAAUAAUCAGAGAGUGCAGACUGCUUAAUGCAAGAAAGGAGAAGAAAAACCUUCAGGAUUCAGUGCUUGGAACAAUAUAGAUAAAAUCUCUGGACCAGGGAAAGUUGAAGUCCCAAAGCUGAUGGGAAGACAGCAUCACUGAAGUUCACAUGGGACUGUCCAGCAGAAUCCUGAGUUCAGUGAGACUAUUCCAAAAAUUUAAUAAAUUUAUUUAUUUUACUUUCCCCA
rnacentral:lncRNA from 1 species